AUUGAACGCUGGCGGCAGGCCUAACACAUGCAAGUCGAACGAGUGGCGGACGGGGGAGCAAUGUCUGGGAAACUGCCUGAUGUAGGGGGAUAACUACUGGAAACGGUAGCUAAUACCGACUACCAGCAGAUGUGCCCAGAUGGGAUUAGCUAGUUGGUGGGGUAACGGCUCACAAAGGAGACGAUCCCUAGCUGGUCGGAGAGGAUGACCCGCCACACUGGAACUGAGACACGGUCCAGACUCCUACGGGAGGCAGCAGUGGGGAAUAUUGCACAAUGGGCGCAAGCCUGAUGCAGCCAUGCCGCGUGUAUGAAGAAGGCCUUCGGGUUGUAAAGUACUUUCAGCGGGGAGGCGUUACCCGCAGAAGAAGCACCGGCUAACUCCGUGCCAGCAGCCGCGGUAAUUC
rnacentral:rRNA from 1 species